rnacentral:rRNA from 1 species
AUUGAACGCUGGCGGCAGGCCUAACACAUGCAAGUCGAGCGGAGCGGCGGACGGGUGCGUAAUGCCUAGGAAUCUGCCUGGUCGUGAGGGAUAACGUACGGAAACGGGCGCUAAUACCGCAUACUCUCAGAUGAGCCUAGGUCGGAUUAGCUAGUUGGUGGGGUAGAGGCAUACCAAGGCGACGAUCCGUACCUGGUCUGAGAGGAUGAUCAGUCCCACUGGAACUGAGACACGGUCCAGAAUCCUACGGGAGGCAGCAGUGGGGAAUAUUGGACAAUGGGCGAAAGCCUGAUCCAGCCAUGCCGCGUGUGUGAAGAAGGUCUUCGGAUUGUAAAGCACUUUAAGCGGGGAGGCGUUACCAACAGAAGAAGCACCGGCUAACUUCGUGCCAGCAGCCGCGGUAAUUC